CUGUCCCCUGGAGUUCCCCUAACCACUUCACUAAUCACUAGAGUGGGGAUCUUUGCUACCGGGCCUCUACAUAUAUUGAAGUGUUUGGAGGAACUCUGGGUGCCAC
rfam:Citrus sinensis cultivar Ridge Pineapple sweet orange scaffold00003_contig_345, whole genome shotgun sequence.